UAUGGCCAUGCCACUCUGAAUGUACCCGAUCCUGUAUGAUCUCAGAAGCUAAGCAGGGUCGAGCCUGGUUAGUACUUGGAUGAGAGACCACCUGGAAAGAAAGAAAUGGCCAAUU
rnacentral:rRNA from 1 species